CCCGCCCCGGCCCCGGCCCCGCCCCGGCCCGCUCCAGCCCCGCGCUGGGGCAGGGGCAAGGGCAGGAGCAGGGGCAGGGGCAGGGGCCGGGGCAGGCCCGGGACUUGCCUCCGCGGCCGCGCAGGGGAUUCCAGCCUGAGUCAAGCGGCCCCGCGGUGCCGGGAACCGGGCGUGGCUCAGGGCUGCUCCGACAUGGCUCUCGGGGAAGUGCCCCCAGCGUCGCCGCCCUCCAUGACCUCGUCCGGCCCCGCCACAUCCCGGCACGGCGGUGCCUGCGGCCGCAGCCAGCACCGGGGCCGGCGAGCUGCCGCCUCGCGAGGCAUUUGCUGCACGACCGACCUGAUCAACGCUCCGCCCGGCACUGAGGAAAGCGAAGAAACACUAUUUUCAUUCCUGCCUAGGAGAACUUUUACAAGCUUUGCUCCCUCCUAUGCCUGCAGAAGGGUGCUUGUGCCCAAAAGCAUGAAAAUAAAGACCUUUUUUUUUGCAAA